AUUGCAUUAAUCUCAAUCAAUGUAUUAAACCUCUUUGGCUUCAAUUAAUAUAUUUUGUCCCCUACUCCUGUAUGGACUUUCCUUUAAUAUUUUUAUUCUUUAUAUUCUACUCCGCUCGUUGCCGAUUGAUUGCUUUAAGGAAAAAAAUUUCAAGAAGAGGAUGCGACUUCCUGGAUUUUCAGUGUUUAUAUAAAUCCUUAAUCGAUUCAACUGAGGCUGUUAAAAAAGCAUUUGAUCCAGUAUUUUACGUAACAUUACUUGUUGACGUUCCUAGUAUUAUGUUUACUAUAUAUGUUAUAAUUAAAGAGAUUACAUAUGCGUCGAAAAAUCUUACGGGGUAUACAUCUGAGGGUGCUAUCGUUUUAUCAUCAAUCAUUGUAAUUUUUGCACCAGCAGUGGCAGCU